rnacentral:rRNA from 1 species
UGGGGAAUAUUGCGCAAUGGGCGACAGCCUGACGCAGCGACGCCGCGUGGGGGAUGAAGGUCUUCGGAUUGUAAACCCCUUUCGGCAGGGAAGAUGGAACGGGUAACCGUUCGGACGGUACCUGCAGAAGCAGCCACGGCUAACUUCGUGCCAGCAGCCGCGGUAAUACGAAGGUGGCAAGCGUUGUUCGGAUUUACUGGGCGUACAGGGAGCGUAGGCGGUUGGGUAAGCCCUCCGUGAAAUCUCCGGGCCUAACCCGGAAAGUGCGGAGGGGACUGCUCGGCUAGAGGAUGGGAGAGGAGCGCGGAAUUCCCGGUGUAGCGGUGAAAUGCGUAGAGAUCGGGAGGAAGGCCGGUGGCGAAGGCGGCGCUCUGGAACAUUUCUGACGCUGAGGCACGAAAGCGUGGGGAGCAAACAGGAUUAGAUACCCCAGUAGUCCCUGAGCGGGCUGGCAAGGCGCAU